AAACAAUCCCCUAUGUUUUUGAUUAUUUGCAAGUUUUGCACCCCCAAGGCAAAAAAAAAAUAAAAUUGACACGUGGCACCUCACUUAGGGUGCCACGUCAGCGUUGACCGAGUCAACAAUGGACUGGGGGGUCCAAAACUGCUAAAGAAUCAAAACAUAGGGGGCUGUUU
rnacentral:pre_miRNA from 1 species